UUCAGGCCACGGAACCCUGUAGAUCCAGAACCCCAGGCAACUGCUCUGUCCCCAUUGGGCGAGACCUACCUAGACAAAGGCCUUAAUGUACGGACAAAGGCCUUAAGGGGCCUGGGAGGAAGUCAUACAAAAUAAAUGUUUUCUGGAGAUGACUUUUGGAAAUGGAGUUGUUAGACAGCCUCUGGAAGCGAUACGUCCAUGUUUGUUCAGUGGGUUGGAUGACAUGGAGCUGGAAGACCUGAGAAGGAAGAGAAGAAGGUUCUAUGACAGACUGGUCAUAUUUAGAAGACAUUUUCAUAUUCUAUCCAUUGUUUUGUAUGCAUUUUAUUCCUCACUACUGUAUAUAUAGUUGGCAUUGCUAAGCUUUUUUGAAAUGUCUAUUUUUUCAGAUGUUCUGAAGUGCCUGAUAUAUGUUAAAAUUAAAGGUAGUAA